rnacentral:rRNA from 1 species
CAUGUAAAAUANAUAGCCGCAGUACCCUGACUGUGGUAAGGUAGCAUAAUCAAUAGGCUUAUAAUUUAGGUCUGGAAUGAAGGACGCUAUGGGGGCCCACUGUCUCACUAGGUUAUUUGGAAUUUUUUUAAGAAGUGCAAAAACUUUUAUUGAAUUAAUAGACGAGAAGACCCUAGAAAUUUUUUAAUAUAUUUUGUUGGGGCGACAGGGUAACAGUGAACUUACCUAUAUAUCUGAAGUAUAUGUACAGAACAAUUAAAUUACUCUAGGGAUAACAGCAUAAUUUAGUAAAGUUUGUGACCUCGAUGUUGGAUUAGGAACUUUUAAGUUUAGAAGAAUUAAAAGUUGGCUCUGUUCGAGCGUAUAUCACCUACNUGAUCUGGAUUCANACCGGA